AAGAGAUUAGGUUAACUUUUCACCCCAUUUAUAUUUAUACCUUCUUGAGGGGAUUAUAUGUUAACCUUCAAGGGCCUAGGUUAAUAAUUACCUUAUUAAAAAGUUAAAAGUUAUAAGGGUAACAUUUAACCCUUAAUUUUUUAACCUCCUACCAAACACAUCCUAAAGGUUAAAAUCCACGAGUCUAUUAGUUUUUCUGAUAUGCAUUUGUCUCAAAGUAGGGAGCAAAGCACCAUUAUAUAAUUUAUGUUAUAUGGUUGAUUAUACAUUUAAUCUUUUGGUGAUAUUUAUGGUAAAAAUGAAUUGUAAAUAGAAGAGUUUAACUGUGUAUAGUCAUAUAGAUAUUAGAAUGUAUACUAUAUUAUCAGAAUAAAAAAAUUAAACAAGAAAGUCCUGAUUAAUUAUGGAAUUCAUUUGCUCUUAAGGUUCCUGUAAUGUGAAAGCUGAAAGGUAUGCAAAAUGAAAAAAAAAAUUAAAGGAAUUGUGCAUGGAUAUAUAUCUAACAUGAACAUGCAAGUGAUAAUUUUGGAUUGCUUGGUUUAAUUUGAAGUUGGUUUUGAGUGUGAGAUCUUAAUUUUUUGUUAUAUAAAUACAUGGUAAAAGCAGCUUUAUAAGAAAUGUUGAUAUCAUUAAUAGGGUAUUAAUGUGAUUGAAAUUUCCGUGAUGUGUAAAUUUUAUAUUUUAAAUACAAGAGCCAUAUUGCAAUAAACUACAAGGCAUAGAAAUCUAAUUUUCCUUACUUAUUGCUUAUUCAGUUAUUCAAACAUGCUAAGUUUUCUUUAGGCCUAAAAUUUUCCUUUGUUCUCCUUUCUGAUAGUAUAAGCCUAUUAGCUGUUUUUAAGCUUUUUCAUGGCUAUAUUCUUGAUUUAUGUUUUUCCCAGCAACUGGCAUUUGGCUGACCUGGUUCAAUAUGGUUUUGCAUAACAGUUAAGUGAG
rnacentral:misc_RNA from 1 species